rnacentral:sRNA from 2 species
CUUGCACUUGGGAAGUAUAUCCUUCGAUUCUGCCAGCCGUGCCAUCAUAGCGAUAUGCAGGCACAUGUCCCAGGUUCAAGCUCAUCGCAUCAAGCCACCACUAGCCUGGGCAAGCUUUUCAUUCUCCGCUGGCUUUUCUCAGUUAUGGCUGACUGGUUUGUUUUGAUCGCACUCCUUGCCAUUUAUGUAUGAGAAUAUCACUCACUACCUUGUGUGCAUUUACCUCAUGGGAAGCGAAGCGAAGUGCUGCAAAGCUCAGACUAGCGACAAAGAUUAUGAGAAUGCUGUUAUGAAUGUCUCUGAACAUUUGACAGCUAUUGAGUUCAUGGGAGAACUACAGUUGAUUGGAGUAGGUUGAGAGUUGGUUCAAUGAUAACCUGAGUUCUUAAUGCGAUUGCGUUGUGGGAACAGGCCGUUUCUUUACUUCCAUGACCUUGCACGGCGCGCGGGACAGAAAGGGAGAGCAUGGACUAUGUUGAUAAUACACUGACGAAUCACAUCUUUACAUGUCGUUCGAAUAUCCUGCUUGAUGUCUAACAUCUGCUGUGAACCUGUUGUAUUAUUGCUGCGCCUAUCCAUUGGGAAUGUUUUCCCUGCGUUAGUUUACAGAAAGAAGAGAAGAUAAAUUCAGCACUCAACAAUAUUAG